rnacentral:rRNA from 1 species
GUACCAUAACCGACACAGGUGGGUAGGUAGAGUAUACUAAGGGGCGCGAGAUAACUCUCUCUAAGGAACUCGGCAAAAUGACUCCGUAACUUCGGGAGAAGGAGUGCCUUAUUUCUAAGGUUGCAAUAACAAGAUCCAAGCAACUGUUUAUCAAAAACACAGGUCUCCGCUAAGUCGUAAGACGAUGUAUGGGGGCUGACGCCUGCCCAGUGCCAGAAGGUUAAAGAAGUUGGUUAGCAUUUUGCGAAGCUGAUAACUGAAGCCCUGGUAACGGCGGCCGUAACGAUAACGGUCCUAAGGUAGCGAAAUUCCUUGUCGGGUAAGUUCCGACCCGCACGAAAGGCGUAAUGAUUUGGAUACUGUCUCGGAGAGGGACUCGGUGAAAUAGACUUGUCUGUGAAGAUGCGGACUACCUGCACCUGGACAGAAAGACCCUAUGAAGCUUUACUGUAACUUGAAAUUGAAAUUGGACUUUAUUUGCGCAGUAUAGGUGGGAGGCGUUGAGAAUAUUCUUGCGGGAGUAUUGGAGCCAUCAGUGAGAUACCACUCUUGUAAUGUUAGAUUUCUAACUUUGUAUCAUUAUCUGGUCAAAGAACAGUUUCAGGCGGGCAGUUUGACUGAGGCGGUCGCCUCCCAAAUGGUAACGGAGGCGCACAAAGGUUUCCUCUGAACGGGUAGAAAUCGUAUCUAGAGUGUAAAGGCAUAAGGAAGCUUGACUGUGAGACCUACAAGUCGAGCAGGGACGAAAGUCGGUCUUAGUGAUCUGACGGUGCUGAGUGGAAAGGCCGUCACUCAACGGAUAAAAGUUACUCUAGGAUAACAGGCUGAUCUCCCCCAAGAGUUCACAUCGACGGGGAGGUUUGGCACCUCGAUGUCGGCUCAUCGCAUCCUGGGGCGGUAGUACGUCCCAAGGGUUGGGCUGUUCGCCCAUGGAAGCGGUACGCGAGCUGGGUUCAGAACGUCGUGAGACAGUUCGGUCCAUAUCCGGUGUAGGCGUUAGAAUAUUGAGAGGAGCCUUCUUUAGUACGAGAGGACCGAGAAGGACAUACCUCUGGUGUACCAGUUAUCGUGCCAACGGUAAACGCUGGGUAGCUAUGUAUGGAGAGGAUAACCGCUGAAAGCAUCUAAGUGGGAAGCCCACCUCAAGAUAAGUAUUCUCAUCACGUAAGUGAAUAAGGUCACGGUAAGACUAACCGUUUGAUAGGCAUUAAGUGUAAAUCUAGUAAUAGGUGAGCUGAGAUGUACUAACAGACCGAAGACUUG